rnacentral:rRNA from 1 species
AACGAACGCUGGCGGCGCGCCUAAUACAUGCAAGUCGAGCGAGAAGACGUAGCAAUACGUUUGUAAAGCGGCGAACGGGUGAGGAAUACAUGGGUAACCUACCCUAGAGUGGGGAAUAACUAGCCGAAGGUUAGCUAAUACCGCGUACGCUCCUUGGACUUCGGUUCAGGGAGGAAAGCGAUACCGUGGGUAUCGCGCUCUUGGAUGGGCUCAUGUCCUAUCAGCUUGUUGGNGAGGUAACGGCUCACCAAGGCCUCGACGGGUAGCUGGUCUGAGAGGACGAUCAGCCACACUGGCACUGCGACACGGGCCAGACUCCUACGGGAGGCAGCAGUAAGGAAUAUUGCGCAAUGGGCGAAAGCCUGACGCAGCGACGCCGCGUGGGGGAGUGAA